UACUGCAACUGCUCUCGUAGAUGUGAC
rnacentral:sRNA from 1 species